GACAAAGCGAAACGGCUGCGCAAGCGUCAGUGCUGGCAUCUAUUGGAGCGACGAGGCAGCAGAGUCUGGACUCGUGGCCACGCCUCAAGCAAGCGUUUACAUAUGAGUCAAGCUCGAACGACACGGUUAGGAAGGAAGAACUGUCAGACAAUAAUGAACGUAACGCCACGUGAAGCUCAACCUGUCAUUUUCACGAAGAUAAUACUGGAUAUGGAGAGACCAAAGUUUUAUUCAAGCAAGAAGGUGUAAUUUUAGAUAUUGGAAAAUCAAACGCUAACACUAUAAAAAAAAAGAAAGUUAAAUUACGAAUAAAAGAUCAAAUGUUUGCUUAACUUCUUUAGAAAAAAUGGAGUUCUAAUGUUGGAUUAUAGAACGCUUGUCAAACAUCAUAAAAAUUUAAUAGUGGAAAUGGAAGAUCAAACUUAUAUUAACCUUCGUCGAGAAAGGAGAUUUAAUAUAUGUAGGGUGUUUAUAUUGUCUUUUACUCACCACAGUAAACCUAUCUAUAUAUAUGUGUGAUUGGUACUGCCACUAAUGAUGGAUCUAAUGAUGAAUAGAUUGAUGUUUUUAGCGCAAAACUAUAAACUGAAUUAUUUGCGUUCUGUCCAUUGCGGGAUUCGAAGCCCGGAUUUUGCAUCGUCGGACCGCAAACUUACCGCUGGUUCACUGGGACCCGUUAAAUAGAGAAAGGUCAAAAGCUGCAUUUAACUUUGUAGAUGAAUAAUGACAAGUUUGAAUGUAGGUAGAUCAAAUGUAUUGUCAAAUAUCAUAUAAAAUAAAGUUAUAUUAGCAACAGAA